rnacentral:lncRNA from 1 species
GCAGCCGCGCUUUGGGGCGUCGGCUCACGUGGGGCCGGCAACGCGUCUUCCAGGAUGUUCGCGCGCUAGUCGCCGCUGAGGGGCCGGCGAUGCGCGAGGAGUUCCGGCGAGGAAGGUCGGUCAGUGGACAUGGCCGAGGCCCGCGGUGUCCGCGUGUGGGAGCUGCAGGGCUGAGGAGAGGCCGCCCGCAACCCUCGGGAAUCGUGUGAGGUGCCACUGGGGUCGCUUCACAUCAGGAGGCCCCGUCUCGGGGGACGCGCGCAGAGACGAGGUCUCACUAUGUUGGCCAGGUUGGUCUCGAAUUCCUGGCCGCAAGCCGUUCUCCAGUCUGGGCCUCCCAAAGUGCUAGGAUUACAGGAACAGAAUUGCCAUUGGGCCCAGGGAGAGACUACACUUCUUGUCUGCUUUGUUGCUAGUGCGGCCUUGUGGCCAAGCACAGAACGUGUGCAGUGAUGAUGGUGCAACUUCUAGGUCGUCCCCAGCAUGGAAAAUGAGCCCUGGGCAUGGAAGAUGAGCCCUGGUCCUGCAGCGGUGCUCUUUCCUCUUCUCACAAGCUGGAAUGUGCAUGUGCUCCCACCCAGCUUUGACCAUGGGGCGAAAACAGUACUCUGCAGUCUGGCAGAGCAACAAGGUGGAAAGGGCCUGGGUCCUUGAGUGACGUCAUGAGCCCUCUCACUGUCCCGACUUUGGGACUGUUAUAUGAUAAGGACUUUCUGUGAGUCACUGUCUUUUAGAGUCUCUCUGUUUUAGCUGCCUGGACUUUAUCCUGAAUAAUAUGGCUGUUAUCAUGGG